rnacentral:rRNA from 1 species
ACGAACGCUGGCGGCAGGCCUAACACAUGCAAGUCGAGCGCCCUGCUUGCAGGGAGCGGCGGACGGGUUAGUAACGCGUGGGAAUAUGCCCAAAGGUACGGAACAACUGCUGGAAACGGCAGCUAAUACCGUAUGUGCCCUACGGGGGAAAGAUUUAUCGCCUUUGGAUUAGCCCGCGUUGGAUUAGCUAGUUGGUGAGGUAACGGCUCACCAAGGCGACGAUCUAUAGCUGGUUUGAGAGGAUGAUCAGCAACACUGGGACUGAGACACGGCCCAGACUCCUACGGGAGGCAGCAGUGGGGAAUCUUGGACAAUGGGCGCAAGCCUGAUCCAGCCAUGCCGCGUGGACGAUGAAGGCCUUAGGGUUGUAAAGUCCUUUCACCGGUGAAGAUAAUGACGGUAGCCGGAGAAGAAGCCCCGGCUAACUCCGUGCCAGCAGCCGCGGUAAU